GUGAUUCCUCUGAACAUCGGUCCUGCAGGAAUUGAUACUGCUUAAUUCGCUGGACGAUUCUUACCAGCUGAAGCCAGACCCAGGCAGGGUCCAAGCUGAAAGCUCUAGUAUAGAGUAUCAGUAUUUUUGUUUCAUUUAAAGUCAAAAGCGAGCCGGGCGUGGUGACUCACGCCUGUGAUCCCAGCACUCGGGAGGCUGAGGCUGGAGGAUCGUUACGAAUUCAAGACCAGCAUGGGGUACAAAGUGAGCUCAAGGCCAGCCUGAACUGCAUAGCGAGACCUGUCUCAAAAAGACAAAAAAAAAAAAGGGUCAAGAGCCGAGGCAGAGCGUGGUAGCACACAUCUGUCAUUCCAGCACUGGGGAGGCUAAGGCAGAAGGAUUGAUGAGAGUUCCAGGUCAGCAUGGACUACAUAGCGACUUCCUGCCUCAAAAUAAACAAAAAAGUAAAAUCAAAGGCGAAGGAGGAAGCUGUGUUUGGGAUUUUCGUAGUCAAGUUUUUAUUCAGGCUUUCCAAUCUAUGAAAAUGAAGUUGUGAGUGCUGCCUUACAUUAGCAAUCUGAAACUGGCUGUCAGAACCCUGCUACUGACCCAGAGAGGUGGUACAGUCCUGCAAUCUCACAAUCUCAGCACAAGGGAGGCUGAGGCAGGAGUAUUCUUGCAAGUUUGAGACCAACCUGGGCUAUGAACAGCCCAAGGCCAGCCUGAAUUGCAUAGUGAGAACCUGUCUCAAAAAGACAAAAAAAAAAAAAAAAAAAAAAAAAGCCGUGCUACUAUUGAGACUGUUGUGUGGGAAAAAAAGAAAAUGAUGUGUGUGUGUGUGUGUGUGUGUGUGUGUGUGUGUGUCUGUGUGCAAAGGGUAAUUGGUCUCUUACACAUGAGUUAUAAAUAGCAAACAGGAUCUAGUAAAUUGGAUUACUUAAAAAUCCAGUACAUUUUAAGGAUCUUAUGUGAUUAACAUGACACAGAUCUACAUUGAAAACUACAGUACUCUGAAAAAGAGAUUGAAGAGGAUAUUAAAAUAUAAAGAGAUAUCUCAUGGUCUUAGGAAAAACCAAUAUAAUGAAAAUACUUCCAAAACCAGAUUCAGUGCAAUCCCAGUCAAAAUUCCAAUAACAUAUCUAUGGAAUUAGAGAAAACAAAUAAAAUUCAUCUGGAACCAGAAAAGACCUAGAAUAGCAAAGGCAAUCUUGGGUAACAAAGGCAAGAUGGGACAUCACAAUUCCUGAAUUGAAAUUAUACUAUAAAGCUACUGUGAUAAAAAAAAAAUUGUAGUAUUGUCAAAAAAACAGACCUCAAGAUCAAUGGAACAGAUUAGAAGAUGCAGAAAGAAACAACUCCAGACACACUGUGUCACCUUAUGUUUGAUAAAGGGACCAAACACAUUCACUGCAAGGAAGAUAACCUCUUUAAUAAAUGGUACUGGAAAAACUGGCUCUACAGAUGCUGAAGACUAAAAAUGUACCCAUAUCUUUCACCAUGCACUAAGCUAAACUCAGAAUGGAUCAAAGACCUUAAUAUUAAAACAGAAACAUUAAAUCUGCUGGAAGAUAGAGUAGCUAAAACUCUUGAAGACAUUGGUUGUGGCAAAGACUUUUUGAACAAAACUCCAAUUACACAGGAAUUAUCACAAAGAAUCAAAAAUGGGAUCUCACCCUACUGAAAAACUUUUGCACUCUACUGAAAAAACACCAACAGUGUAAAGAGACAACCCACAUUGUGGGAGAAAAUUUUGCCAGCAGUUCUUCAGAGGAUUACUUUUGAGAACAAAGAACUAAAAAAAAAAAAAAAAUUAGUUCUCCCAGAUUUAUAGAUCCAGUCUAAAAAUGGACAUCUGAGAUGAAAACAUGUUUCUCAGAUGAAAAAAAUCCAAAUAUCAAAUAAAUAUGUGAGAAAACGUUCAAUAUCACUGGUCAUUAGAAAGAUGCAAAUUAAAAUAACAGAUUCCACCUCACCAUGGAAUCAAUGGCUAUUAUCAAGAAAUCAAGCAGUAACAAAUUCUGGAGGGCUGUGAGGAAAAAGAAAACCUGUUGGUAGGAAUACAGACUGGUGCAACCAUUUUGGAAAUCAGUGUGGAGAUUCCUCAAAAAAACUAGAAAGUCCCAUUUGACCUAGCAAUUCCCCUUCUGAGUAUUUUGCCAAAGGAAUUAAAAAACAUCAUACCAUAGCAAUAUAUGAGCACCCAUGUUUAUACUAGUACCAUUUUUUAAAAAUUUUUUUAAAGAGCAGAAUGUAUUUAUUGAGAGAAAGAAAGCUUCUGGCUGGGAGAGAGACAGAGGGGGUCAUGAGUGGGUUGCCAAAGACUGUCUUUUCUAGACAUUUAUAGAGCAACACCACAAGAUGCAAUAGGUCUAAGGUGGGGAAAACACGGAAACUCACAAGGCAGGUAGGCAUGAAGUGGGACAGAACUAUGGUCAACCAAUCAGAUUAAUUGUUCAGGUAAAACUGACUAAAUUGGGAACAAAUGGGAAAGUGAGUCAUAUAGAAAGCAGGCAUCUUAAAGAGUAGUAACCUAGGAGCUGGGGGUUUAGCUCAGCGGCAUAAGCACCUGUCUUGCAAGCAGGCGGUUGUGAGUUCGAUCCCUAGUACCAAUAAAAAAGAAAAAGACAAAAAAAAAAAAAAAAAAAAAAAAAGAGUAGUGACCUCUUGUAGAGGGUUGGGAUGGUGACUUCUGACUUCCUCAAGGUGAUCCACACCAGAAUAUCAACCCCUAAUGUUUACACUUAGAUAAUCUACACUUAGAUUACAUUUUUUGCCUUCUGUCUUGAGAUUAGGCCCUCAGUAGAGGUGUCUUGUCUCCUCUAGGGUUGCAAGGUAGAUCUGGUUUCUGCACUGGCUCAGUCAAGGACGCAGCACUGUCUGCCUGCCUAUAAUAGUUCUAACCAACUCAACUGCCUGUCACAUUCCCCCUCUGAAGUAACCCAAACUGCUGUGAGGGACUAAUGGAUGAUGACUGAUCUGGCUUCUCAGGCUGAAAGAGGUUAUAGUUGUUGAUCAGCAGUCAAGGAUACUCUGCAGAGUGUCUAUCUAAAGACCCUUCAUAGACACCAGGCAUUUUUAUCUUGAGUAGCCGUACAGAUUUAAGUCUCUGCAUUUCAUUUUGGCUCUAAGGCAGGCCACACACACAUGCAGAAAAAUAUCAAAUGACUUUUUCAACAUGGAAGGAUUGAACAUAUUCCAGUGCUGAAUUAUUCCAGCUGGAAUGUAUUCCAGCCAGGGAUUUAGCUCAGCGGCAUAAGUGCCUACCUGGUAAGUAUCAGGUUUUGAGUUUGAUCCCUGGUACCACAAAAAAAAAAAAAAAAAAAGUAUCCCAAGGAAUAAGAGGUUUGACAUUGAGUUACCCAUGUCUAUCCAAUGAUCUCGGUGGAAGACCUCCAAAUGAUAUAGGGGAAUGAAACUCCCAAACUACUACAUAUCUGGUGAGUUCAUGUUCUCUAAAAUCAAAGGAUGAAUUUCAGGAACAAUGAAGGUUAAGAGCAGAAAUAUUUAUUGAGAGAAAGAAAGCUUCUGUCUGGAAGAGGGAUAGAAGGGAUCCUGAGUGGGUUGCCCUAGCCAUACAAUUUGUAAUAACUAGAUCUUGGAAACAACCUAAAUGCCCAUCCAUUAAGGAAUGGAUAAAAAGGAUGUAUUUUUAUACAAUGGAAUACUACUCAGUUAUAAAUAAGGAUAAACUGGAGACUUUUAUAAAUAAAUGGAUGCAACUUGAGACCAUAAUCACGAGUGAAAUAAAUCAAACACGUAUAAACACUGUAUUGUCUCAUCAGUGUAAGAAGCUGAAACAACAUAGGUAUAUGUAUGGUAUAUGUAUAUAUGUACAUAAAAAUAGUUAAGAUAGUUAUACUACUGAUUUCUCUGAGUUCAUUGAAGAGAAAAAUUUUUGCUAGUAUUGUUUGGAUAGUCGAAUACAGAUGUCUUGUGCUCUGGGUAAAUGAUUUGGGGAUGACAAUGCACAUUGUAUAUACCAUUGUUGCCCCUGAUUGACACAUUUUGAAAUUUGGGGGAUUUUUCCUCUUUGAAAUAAAAUGGAUUAGAAAAGUGGGGUGGAAAUUACACCUCCUCUAGAUUAAGUAUUUUCUUUAAAGUAGACUACAAACCAGGCAUAGUAACACAGGUCUAUAAUCCCAGCUAUGUGGGAGUCUAAGGUAAAAGGAUCACAAGUUCCAAGGCAGUGUGGGCAAUUAGAGACCACGAACACUUCAUUUUGCUACUCUGCAAAAAUCUCAUGGAUAAUUAAGAUUUGUUUAGAAUCUAGACUUGUGGGUACCUUAACUUUUAUGUUAUAUACUUUAUCAAUAUUGUGAUUGGUGACAGCUAGCACAUAGCACUGAGGAUUUUGUGAGUUAAGACUGAAAUAAAGCCAGGUGUGGUGGCUCACGCCUGUAAUCCCAGCACUCAGGAGGCUGAGGCAGGGAAAUUGUUGCAAGUUCGAGACCAGCCUAGGCUGCAAAGUGAGCUCGAGACCAUCCUGAACUGCAUAGUGAGAGCCUGUCUCAAAAAGAUUUUUUUUUUUUUUUUGUCUUUUUUCUUUUUAUCGGUACCGGGGAUCGAACUCACGACUGCCUGCUUGCAAGGCAGGUGCUUAUGCCACUGAGCUAAAUCCCCAGCCCCUUCAAAAAGAUUUUUGUUUGUUUGUUUGUUUGUUUUUGUCUUUUUCAUUUUUAUCGGUACCAGGGAUUGAACUCACGACCGCCUGCUUGCAAGGCAGGUGCUUAUGCCACUGAGCUAAAUCUCCAGCCCCUCAAAAAGAUUUUUUAAAAAAAGAUUGAAAUAAAUAUGUGGAUGCUAUGUAUAGGAUACAUAAAUUGACUAGUACAUAUAUUAAUGCUAAUGAAGAUUAAAUGCUUUACAAAAAUGCAUAAUAAAAGCAACUAAAACCAAGGAACCAUUGAGAAAAUUUGAGAACAGUUAUGUGCAUUGUCAUGGUACCGUAUGACCACACAUUUCCCCAUAUGUAGAAGACAAUAUAUAAUUCUGUUAUGGAUUAAGAACUGGUAGUCAACACCAGCUGGAUUACAUCAGCAUGGCAUUGAGCGAAGAUGCUCCACCUGAGGAAAGAUGCCAAGAUAAAUAGGUGGAGGGUUGAGGCGUUAAGGAGGCAUUAUGGGUUCUCCUACGAGUUGCUGUCUGAGCUGUCUGAGCUGGAGAAGCUUUGUUCCUCACAUCAGCAUUGCUUCCUGGCUUGGGACAUGUGCUGCGUGGUCUCCAGGAUGAACUCGUCACGCGGCUUCCUGGCACGUACCCGACUGUGCUUGUCCUUGGAGGAGCUCGGAGCCUCUGUGUCACUGAGGACAGCUGUGGUGCCUUUCAGGACAGCCCUGGUCUUUGUCGUGAGUGUGACUUCUCAGCUCCAGCGUAGAACCCUCAUCCCACUAGCACAGCUCCUUCAUCCUGCUGGCAUCCUGCUCCUUCAUCCUUUCUGGCUUCCACCACUGACCCUUGGGUCUUCCCAGCACGGAUCUGUAAAAGAGACUGGCGUGAGUCCUUCUUGUGGGCUCUGGACCUCCAGUUGGACUCGUGGGAGGCACUGUCCUGAGCUCUGGGUCUUUAUCUGGACUCAUGUGAGAUAUUGCUGUGGGGUUUAGGCUCUUGACUAAAUAAUCUAUGUCUUUGGUGUUACGGAUAGAUUUCCUGCAUUUUCCCGUGCUAACUUCCAGUGACCAUUAUAAAAAUAUUAUAAACUCCA